rnacentral:snRNA from 1 species
GUACUUACCUGGACGGGGUCGAUGGGUGAUCAAGGAGACCCAUGGCCUCGAUCAAUGGCCAACAUUGCACUUGGUUGGUGCGUUGAUCUACCAUCUCCCCAGGAGAGUGGACGUCAUAAUUUGUGGUAGAGGGGGAACGCGUUCGCGCGGCCCCUA